rnacentral:misc_RNA from 1 species
UUAACUAUUAUAUAGUACUCAGACGACACUAACAGGCAGGGUUUGGGGUUCUCCGGCGGGCGCGCACCAGCCGAGGCCGGUGGCACGAGGGCGGCCCGCCAAAGCAACAAUGGUAGGUAUAACAAAGGGUGGGAGGUCUACCCCGAAGGGCACGAACUCUGUAAUGAUCCUUCCGCAGGUUCACCUACGGAAA